UGUACACUAUCAGCCUGUCAGCACACCU
rnacentral:misc_RNA from 1 species